GUGCCAGCCGCCGCGGUAAUACGUAGGGACCAAGCGUUGUUCGGAUUUACUGGGCGUAAAGGGCGCGUAGGCGGCGUGGUAAGUCAGCUGUGAAAUCUCCGAGCUUAACUCGGAACGGUCAGCUGAUACUGCUGUGCUAGAGUACAGAAAGGGCAAUCGGAAUUCUUGGUGUAGCGGUGAAAUGCGUAGAUAUCAAGAGGAACACCUGAGGCGAAGGCGGGUUGCUAGGCUGAUACUGACGCUGAGGCGCGAAAGCUAGGGUAGCAAACGGGAUUAGAAACCCCUGUAGUCC
rnacentral:rRNA from 1 species